CUCUCUCUCUCUCAAUUACCAGACCCCGGCAACUACGUCCAUUCUCCGGCGAGUCGCGGCGGCGGCGGCAAUAGCGGUUUAUCGGCAAAGAGUGGAUUGCCGGAGAUCGAAGGGAGUGGAUUUUUUAUUUUGGGAUCUAGGGUUCGAGUGAUUUUCGAUUUUUUUUUUGGUCUAGAUCAAUUUCCUUGAGCACUCUCGAAGAUUUCAAGAACUCUUUGGCUCCAGUUCAUCCAGCAAAGACACAUUAUUAGAGUCAGAUACUGUCUCGGAUCUGACUUCAACGCUAUCCUCCUCCGUGACUGCUACUCUCUUACAAGCACAUUUCCAUUGAAACGCCCUACACUGACAAAUCUGAGAUGGAUUCUCUCAAAUGGGAGGAUCAGUUGAGGCAGAGGUACUGAUAAAACAUUUAAGAGAAGCUAAGGUUCAAGUCUCGAAAUCAAAAGAUGUCGGCCCUUCAAAGAAUGUCGUGGAGGCUCUCAUAAACAUCAUCAUCGAAGAGUUUCGUGGUAGUGUUUAUGAAGAGGAUGAAUGGCUUGAUAACUCCUGUCGAGUAAGCGCAAUCAGGUUUUCUUGAUCUGUAUUAUGGUGUUAUUCUCUCUGUUGAUGGUUUGGUUCCUCAGUUCGAGUUCAAAUGGAUCCUUCACUAGACCAAAGCCAACAUAAGUGCUAAUUGUGACUAUUUUGGAUAAGAGAUUGAAAGAGCAGCGCCGUGAAAUAAACAAAUGUAGUAGGAAUCCAUGAAAUGGAAAAAAUUCUGCUAUCUACCAACUGUUUUUAUUUCAAUGUUGCUUUAGCAGCCAAAUUAUG